CUUUUGAAAUAGGAAGUUUGGAAGCCCCCCCUCCACAGGGUGGGGCCCAGUGAAACCCGCCUUGACCACCGGCAAUUAUGAGGAUAGCAUGAUAAGAUACUGUGCUAAUUUGUCAGCAGCUUUGUCUUCUUUACAUGCACAGGUGAAAGCUGUGCUCCCUUCCCCAGCUGCAGCAGCCCAGCACCAUUUGAAGCCGGGAGACUGGGUGCUCAUUAAGGACCACAGACGAAAACACUGGAAGCAGAGGCGCUACAUCGGGCCUUUCCAAGUCCUCCUGGUCACAGAGACAGCGGUGAAAGUAGACGGGAGAGCACCUUGGAUACACGCCAGCCACUGCAAACGCAUCCUGGAGGUCCAGAGGGGAGGAGCUGCGUAGACCAGAGCCAGGGAACUGGCAGAGGCCCGCAAUUCCAGUAAUUAUACAAGUACCAGCCCUCAUCUACGUCCCAAGAGAGAGUGGCGAGAGGGGAGUAUUACUUUCCAUUGUCCCACUGGCCGAUGUGGUAAGGACAAUUGCACAAUAUAUACAGUAGAAGAUGGCGCGGUGACUAACAUCCAAAGAGAGUUAACAGAGGUUGUGUGUGACACCCGAUCUGCGACCAAUAAUGUUUGCACUGUAUGGUUGCAUGAGGUGUUUGACCAUAAAUCAGAUUUUUCGUAUUGGUGCAGGAGAACCCGGGCUUGCCAAGAAGCUCCAGCCUAUGGCGCCCACAGCGAAUGGUACAAGACGUGCCAAGCCAGGAUACCGAAACCCGGCAUGAUCAUGUUUAAGUGUCCUGCGGGAUCAUGGGCAGAUCACGUGUGCCACAUAUAUGCAUUAGGACUCUCUGAACCCUUUUUUGGCCAUUGGUCUGAAUUAAAAGCAGCACAUGUGCAGACCCAGUGCGACACACAUGACACAUGCUCAGUGACUUUGAGUGCUAGAUUCGAUUCCAGCUGGGAAUACCCUACUGGUGCAGCAGACCUGACGAUUGUGACACCGAGCCAAAUUACCCAACUGACUUGUAUUGGAAGCCUGCAUGUAGAGUAAGCUUAGAAUUAAGAAAACUCCCCACCCGUGUUCCACCUUACGAAGAUCACAGCACCGCUUUAUCUAUAAUGACAGAGUCUGCACAUAGAAGUAACCUUUUAAUUUGUGGGAUUUGUCAACAUUUGCCCACUUCAUCUAAAUCUCCUAUGCUUGCUCCGGUUCCAUUCACGGGAGCAGACUGGCGUGUUAGGGGUGGCGAGUUAUAUCUGACCGGUUCAGGAAAAUGAUGAAGACUGCUACACACCUUCAUCACACGCAGCGCCCACCACGGGGACCCUCCAUCAGUACGAGGGUGAUAAAGGGGAAGUUAUACGCUUUGUAAUAAGAACAUUUAACUAUCAAGAACAUCCGACUGGCGUUAAUUGGGUAACUCUUUUUAAGUUAACAUAUUACAAGAAAUUUGUUUUACAGGGGCUGCGCUAUCAAAUGCAAAUGACUUUAGCUGAAACAAAUUGCACUACUGAAAGUACGUGGGUAAAUUCUGAAUGUGUCCUUUGACCAAAUACAGCAUCCAUCUGUCUCGAGGUAGGAGUGCAGAGUACACCAUGGGCAAAAAGGUUUAAGGUAUCCCAUUCAUCCUGGGUGAGGCAUAAUUGUACUCAACCCAUAAUUCCAAUUAGACCAAGUGAUAGAAAUUGUACUAAGCCCACACCUCCAAUUCCAGUACAUCCACAGACCAACGUGGAUCUCUGUUUUCAUUUUAGCACGAUAGAAGGGUUCUUCUUGGGUAAAAGUGAUUGCACAAAGCUGGUAGUUUCCCUUUCCAGUGCAACGGAAGGUCUUGCAUUACCAGAGCAGGCUCAUUUGGUCUGUGGUAACUCUGCUUACAGUUGCGUUCCAAAAAUAGGGACGACUCUCAAGAAACCUGUCACUGGGACAUGUUAUUUAGCUUAUCUAAUUGCUGUUAUUAGGCAGGCUGACCCUAGAGAGCUUGCGCCCUAUCACAUACGAGACAAGCACACAAUUUCUAUGGCGUCCAGAAUCCCGAGCAUCGUGAUACCAGCAUAUGGCGUUUAUAAAAGUCAAGAAGAAAUAGCCGUGCUCUCAACAGUGCUUGAGAGACACAUGAAUAAAACUACCAUUGCGCUCUCUGCUAUGCAACCGGAACUGACUGAUAUCAGAGGCAUGGUUCUUCAGAAUAGAAUGGCUUUAGACCUGAUUUUGGCCUCCCAAGGGGGCGUGUGUAAAGUUCUGGGGUGGGAAUGUUGUUCUUACAUUUCAGAUGCUUCCUCUGCGGUGCAUGACGUGGUAGCAGACACCGAACGGGGUAUUCAAGAACUGCACGAAGACCACGACUGGAACCCAUUUGGUGAAAUGCAGUCCUGGACAGGGUCUUGGGGGGCGUCACUCGUCAAAGUACUAGCCUGGGUGGUGGGGGUGUUAAUUCUCAUUAUGAUCGUGAUUGCCCUGAUGGUGUUUAUUUCCAGGGCCUGUGUAAAGAAAGCUGUGACUGCUCUAGUAUCCUCACCUGAUCCGGGUCUACUAGACAUGACUCUCCUACCAGAUUGGAUUCCUCCAUAUGCUGAAAGCGAUGGCCUUUCUAGCCUAACACUUGGCGACGAGGAUGGGAUCGGACGCGUGAUCUGGACUCCGCCGGACGGACAGACGGGCCAAACUAAACUCCCAUUGAGACUGCCAUCCUGCGGAGACCGGUUCGCCGAUCCGAUCCAACGGACAACCACGUACGGUGGAGACAUGCAGUGAUCAGCAUUCAGAAAGAGUGAAAGCUGUGCUCCCUUCCCCAGCUGCAGCAGCCCAGCACCAUUUGAAGCCGGGAGACUGGGUGCUCAUUAAGGACCACAGACGAAAACACUGGAAGCAGAGGCGCUACAUCGGGCCUUUCCAAGUCCUCCUGGUCACAGAGACAGCGGUGAAAGUAGACGGGAGAGCACCUUGGAUACACGCCAGCCACUGCAAACGCAUCCUGGAGGUCCAGAGGGGAGGAGCUGCGUAGACCAGAGCCAGGGAACUGGCAGAGGCCCGCAAUUCCAGUAAUUAUACAAGUACCAGCCCUCAUCUACGUCCCAAGAGAGAGUGGCGAGAGGGGAGUAUUACUUUCCAUUGUCCCACUGGCCGAUGUGGUAAGGACAAUUGCACAAUAUAUACAGUAGAAGAUGGCGCGGUGACUAACAUCCAAAGAGAGUUAACAGAGGUUGUGUGUGACACCCGAUCUGCGACCAAUAAUGUUUGCACUGUAUGGUUGCAUGAGGUGUUUGACCAUAAAUCAGAUUUUUCGUAUUGGUGCAGGAGAACCCGGGCUUGCCAAGAAGCUCCAGCCUAUGGCGCCCACAGCGAAUGGUACAAGACGUGCCAAGCCAGGAUACCGAAACCCGGCAUGAUCAUGUUUAAGUGUC